CAAUACAUUGACUUGGCUUAUGUUUGUUUAUAUGAACUGAUUUAUUUGUUUACUUGGAUAUUAUUCUACGAUUGUGACCUCUCUGAAACUAUUUAUACAGAAUUUGGAUGCUAAUAUGAAAUAAUAACAGACAGUCUAUAACUUGUGAAGAACUGUGAACUAAGUUUAAAAAGUGGCAUAUCAGCUGACCUGCUUGCAGAUCAUCUCUGUGAACAUUUGUACAGAAGAGAAGUAGGUUUUCCAGAGAAGAUGUUUCAACAACUUCUCAUCCUUACUUUGUGAUUUAUGGAGAUUGAGGAUGCAGAUAAGUAUCAAAUAAUGCCACACGUAUGUAAGAUGUCAGCAAGUUUUAAAUACGCCAGCAAUAAAGUAAUUGCAUAAUGUCAGCAUGGGUAAGAAUAAUUACAAAGAAAAAUAUAUAAUUGUUAACUUGCUAAUUAGAUAUUUAUAAAUUAUUAAAGUUUUUC